GUAACUAUACUUGUAUUUAAACUACUAAAUAGGUGUAGGGGAAAGGAGCUGUAUGCAACCUUUAUGUUUGUAUACAGCAGAUCUGUUGUUCUCUCCUCUCUGAUGGUUUUCUGCCAUGUAAGACAACUUUUUAGGAAUUGUGAUUUGAAAAAAAAAAACUACUUAAAAGAUCUCUGUAAAAUAAAUAUAAAUAUAUCAAAUGUAUACAUUUAUUAUUGGAACAAUAACAAUCUAUACGUCCUCUUGAGCCAUAGAAAAUUAACUCACCAGCUAAUUAAUUAUGUACACCUGUACACAGUAUACCAAUCUUCUGAAGGUUGCUUCCAGCAGGAUAAUGCACCAAAAAAGUUCAGCUCAAACCAUCCCCAUCCCCUGAAAGAUCAAACCAUCUCAAAUUCGUUUCUUGAACAUGGCAGCCAGUUCACUGUAGCAACUGUGUGAUGCUAUCAUGUCACUAUAGACCAAAAUCUCUGAGGAAUGCCUUCAGCACCUUGUGCUGAAGGCAAAUGGGGAUCCAAACAAGUGCUUGCAAGAACAACGGGAUGCCAGACUCUCCUUCUACAUCAACAGCCUGCUACUUUUUCCAUGUGGACUAAAACCAUCUGUCAGAAAACUAGAGGAGGAAAUCUGUUUAUGUACAUAAACAAAGAUCUUCCUGGACCCCUGCCAUGUUUGCGUGAGUGAGAGUGAGUCACUGCGAGGGAUUGGACUGAGUGUGUUUUGAGUCACAGAUGGUACGAAGAGGAGUGUGAAUGUGUUACCCCUGCCCUGGACCUCUCCCUUGGAAUCCCUGGAGCCCUCAUCCCCUGAUCACUGUAUAUGUGUAUAUAAUUCACCUGAUAUUGUAAAUAAAUCUCCCUUUGAUUGCACAGCUCCGAGUCCUGCAUCUGAGUCCUGCCUUAAUCCAACGUGACAGAACAAUCUAGCCACGAUGGACUCAGCAGACGACUCAGUACGCCGGGCCGGGUGUCACGAGCAGAUGCUGCUCCACAUCAAUAAGGAACUAACUGCUCUCACACAAGCCCUAGCUCCGCGUACUCCACUGGUAAGCUCACCUCCAACCCUUCUCC
ensembl:lncRNA